GACUGGGCGCAGUGGCCGCCUCGAAAAUGACGAGGUUAAGCCAACGUUUGUUUAGCGCUCCAGGCAUGAGUCUAAGCAUUCUUUUUCCUUUGCGACACGAUUUCACUUGCAUCUCGCUCUGUAGAUCAGGCCGGCACGAACUGCCGCCGCUUCCCAAGUGCAGAGUUUAAAGGAGGGCGUCACCACGCCCAGCAAGGGGCUAAGUAUUUUUCCUCCCAUGAAUCCAUUUCUCAAACCCGGGAACCAGGCAAUCAGUUUGCCUGAGGUCACCCAAGGGCCAGAGCGCUUGCACCAGGUCUCAGGAGUGCCCAGUCAGUUGCUCUAUGUCGUCCCCGGCGGCCAGCCUGGGAAGUGGCCGCGGUACACUCUGCAGCGAGCCUGCGCCAGGAAGAGUUAAAAAGCGUGCGAGAGCAAGAGACCGGCGAAUCCAGUUCAGCGAGGGAUCUAGAUUCACCUUGCAGAACUACAGUGACCUCAUUUCAGUCGGUUUUUCUCCUGAACCCAACGAUCACUGCGAAGUUUAAUUCUCUACAACCCAUAAGACACAGGAGGGGAUAGUGUGUUUACAGUCCCUCAACAAAAGCCUGCACGAGAUGGGCUUGGCCUUCUUUGUUUCCUUUAUUAUUAAAAUUGUUAAUGAAAUAAAACCCAAACUU